rnacentral:rRNA from 1 species
GCCUACGGGGGGCAGCAGUAGGGAAUUUUCGUCAAUGGGCGCAAGCCUGAACGAGCAAUGCCGCGUGAACGAGGAAGGUCUUCGGAUCGUAAAGUUCUGUUGAAGGGGAAAAAGAGCGGAGAGAGGAAAUGGUCUCCGAUUGAUAUUACCCUUCGAGGAAGUCACGGCUAACUACGUGCCUGCAGCCGCGGUAAUACGUAGGUGGCGAGCGUUAUCCGGAAUGAUUGGGCGUAAAGGGUGCGUAGGCGGCCUGCUAAGUCUGGAGUGAAAGGUACCGGCUCAACCGGUACAGGCUCUGGAAACUG